rnacentral:tRNA from 1 species
GGCAGCGUGGCCGAGGGGCUAGGCGGGGGCCUGCAAAGCCCUUGACGGCGGUUCGAAUCCGCCCGCUGCCU